GCAGAAUGCUCACACGAUUUUAUGAUUUCAAACUUGGAAAAGAGCAAGAAUUAUAUGUCCCCUUAAAAAAGAAAACUGAGCAUCUUAAGUAGAAAGCCAGCCUUUCCCUCUCUAUAGGGACCACGUACUAUGUAUGGAUCUGAAUGUGUUUGAAGCAAUGCGAGGGUGGCGGUCAACAUGUCGCCACAGAGUGGACUAAAUGCUGAACCAGAGGCCUGGAUUCAAAUCCCAGCAUGCUCUCUAAGCGUGCAACCUGGGUUAGUCAGCCUUCUCUGUGUUAGGUGCUCAUUGCAAAAUGAACGGAUUCAGCUAAAUGACAGCAGUGGUCUCUUGAAGUCGAUGAAGUCUGUGCUAUGAAUUCAGCUCUUUGCAGUUGCAGGACUAAGAUAUCCAUCUCAUGGCUGGUUGUCAGCUGGGACGUGUUCUCGGCAACCAGAUCCUACUCGCAUUCCUUGCCAUGUGGUCCCCUCCAUCCUCAGGCCAGCAAUGAUGCCUUCUCAGCCCUCCUCUCAUUUGAUUCUCCCAGUCCUGCGAAGGCAAGAGAAAAGGCAGAGCCACGAUCCCUCAUUACGGGCCAGGAAACCGUGACCACUUGUCACGUGUGUGCCUUGUGCAGGCCACUUCACCUCUUUCUGCCUCAGUCUCCUUCCCUGCAAAAUGAGAAUUACAACAGCACCUACCCCAUCAUGUUUUUGGAAAGAACAAAGGAGCGGACACCUCCAAAGCACACAGGACAGUGUCUGGCACACAAUAAGCCAGUCUCUGAAACUCUUAUUAUUUCCAUGUAAGACCUGUUUCAAAGGCAUUUCUCUUCGCCCGUUAAUGCUGAGCUUUAUUUUAUCUUCUACUUCUCACGUCCACUUAGGCUGCCUUCCUGCCUUCCCGGAGAUCCACAAUCACUUCUAAUUUAAUAUCCACCAUGAAUUUAAUUAAAGUUCUGUUAGUGUCUUCUUCUUCUAGACCAUUAAUGAGGCUGUUAGAUAAAAUGUAAUAAAGAUCCCUGGAGCAAGCCAGCAG
rnacentral:lncRNA from 1 species